rnacentral:pre_miRNA from 1 species
AGAUAUACCAAGUUCAGUUUUGUUCAAAUGAUUGUUCUGUUGCCUUUCAUCACUGGGCUUUGUUUAUCUCA